GACGAACGCUGGCGGCGUGCCUAAUACAUGCAAGUCGAACGCAGUGGGGACGGGUGAGUAACACGUGGGUAACCUCCCAUCAGAGGGGAUAACACUUGGAAACAGGUGCUAAACCGAUACUGAUGGAUGGACUCGCGGUGCAUUAGCUAGUUGGUGAGGUAACGGCUCACCAAGUCCACGAUGCAUAGCCGACCGGAGAGUAUGACCGGCCACACUGGAACUGAGACACGGCCCAGACUCCUACGGGAGGCAGCAGUAGGGAAUCUUCUGCAAUGGACGAAAGUCUGACCGAGCAACGCCGCGUGAGUGAAGAAGGUUUUCGGAUCGUAAAGCUCUGUUGUUAGAGAAGCGGUAUCUAACCAGAAAGCAACGGCUAACUACGUGCCAGCAGCCGCGGUAAUUC
rnacentral:rRNA from 1 species